UUGACCUCGGAUCAGGUAGGAAUACCCGCUGAACUUAAGCAUAUCAAUAAGCGGAAGAA
rnacentral:rRNA from 1 species